GAGGCUAAAAGCUCAGUGGUAGAGCACCUGCUUUAGCACGCAAGAGGUCAUGGGUUCAAUCCCCAGUAUCUCCA
rnacentral:tRNA from 1 species